rnacentral:rRNA from 1 species
CAAGUCGAACGGGAUAUCACUUGUAGCAAUACCGGUGAUGUCUAGUGGCGCAAGGGUGCGUAACACGUGGGUAAUCUGCCGGGAAGUGGGGGAUAGCUCGCCGAAAGGCGAAUUAAUACCGCAUGUGGUUAGUGAAGACAUCUUCACAACACCAAAGCCGGGGCAACCUGGCGCUUCCUGAUGAACCCGCGGCCUAUCAGCUAGUUGGUGAGGUAACGGCUCACCAAGGCGAUGACGGGUAGCUGGUCUGAGAGGACGACCAGCCACACUGGAACUGAGACACGGUCCAGACACCUACGGGUGGCAGCAGUCGAGAAUUUUUCUCAAUGGGCGCAAGCCUGAAGGAGCGACGCCGCGUGGAGGAUGAAGGUCUUCGGAUUGUAAACUCCUGUCAUUAGGGAACAAAGUCCCCGGUUAACUGCCGGCGGGCCUGAUAGUACCUGAAGAGGAAGAGACGGCUAACUCUGUGCCAGCAGCCGCGGUAAUACAGAGGUCUCAAGCGUUGUUCGGAUUCAUUGGGCGUAAAGGGUGCGUAGGUGGCGCCGUAAGUCAGGUGUGAAAUCCCGGGGCUCAACCCCGGAACUGCACUUGAUACUGCGGUGCUCGAGUACUGGAGAGGAGAUUGGAAUUUACGGUGUAGCAGUGAAAUGCGUAGAUAUCGUAAGGAAGACCAGUGGCGAAGGCGAAUCUCUGGACAGUUACUGACACUGAGGCACGAAGGCCAGGGGAGCAAACGGGAUUAGAUACCCCGGUAGUCCUGGCAGUAAACGGUGCACGUUUGGUGUGGGAGGAUUCGACCCCU